ensembl:snoRNA
UCGAUACUGAAUGAUGACCGCAUAGUUCAGCAGAUUAAACCGUGAAGAUGAUCUGUUGUCUUUCGCUCCUAGCUGACGCCUCGA